GAAAAUCACGCGAUUCAGUUUCCU
rnacentral:siRNA from 1 species